rnacentral:rRNA from 1 species
UACGAAGGGGGCUAGCGUUGCUCGGAAUCACUGGGCGUAAAGGGUGCGCAGGUGGGUUGGUAAGUUUGAUGUGAAAGCCCCGGGCUUAACCCGGGAAUGGCAUUGAAUACUACUGAUCUGGGAGGGUUGGAGGGGGGACUGGAAUUCUUGGUGUAGGCAGUGAAAUGCGUAGAUAUCAAGAGGAACACCAGUGGCGAAGGCGAGUCCCCUGGGACAAAUGACCUG